rnacentral:rRNA from 1 species
CAUGUCCUUUUGAGUUUAAUAUAAGGUUUGAUCUGCUCAAUGAAGAAUUAAAUUGCCGCAGUAUUUUAACUGUGCGAAGGUAGCAUAAUAAUUAGCUUUUUAAUUGAAAGCUUGAAUGAAUGAUUGGACGAAAAAAUUACUGUCUCUUAGGAAUUAUUUUUUAAUUUUAUUUUUGAGUUAAAAAGCUCAAAUUUUAAUAAAAGACGAGAAGACCCUAUAGAGUUUAAUACUUAAGUUUUAUUUAAAUUUAGAAUAUUUUAUAAAAAUUUAAUAUUUAGUUGGGGUGAUUUAAAGAUUAAAUUAAUUCUUUAAUUUUUAAUUGUUGAUAAAUAAAAUUUAAAUCUUACUAUAAAAAAUUAAAAUUAAUUACCUUAGGGAUAACAGCGUAAUUUUUUUUAAAAGUUCUGAUUAAAAGAAAAGUUUGCGACCUCGAUGUUGGAUUAAAAUUAAUUUUUGGUGCAGUAGCUUAAAAAUUGGGUCUGUUCGACCUUUAAAAUUUUACAUGAUCUGAGUUUAAACCGGCGUAAGCCAGGUUGGAUUCUAUCUUUAAUAAAUUAUUAUAUUUUAGUACGAAAGGGCCAAAUAUAAAUUAUUUAAUAAUUG